UACGGGGGGGGCAAGCGUUGUUCGGAAUUACUGGGCGUAAAGGGCGCGUAGGCGGUUCGCUAAGUUGGAUGUGAAAACUCUGGGCUUAACCCAGAGCCUGCAUCCAAAACUGGCAAACUUGAGUACUGGAGGGGAAAGCGGAAUUCCUGGUGUAGCGGUGAAAUGCGUAGAUAUCAGGAGGAACACCGGUGGCGAAGGCGGCUUUCUGGACAGUAACUGACGCUGAGGCGCGAAAGCUAGGGGAGCAAACAGG
rnacentral:rRNA from 1 species